GCCAAAUAGGCAAGAUGUGCUGCAUAUAAAUUCAUGUAUUUAGCAAAUGAUCUACAAGUACAUAUUUUACAUACUUGUUAAUUUCCAAAUAAAAAGGAGUACCAUUUGCGAGAUUUCUCACGGACCAUGUAUCCGUGUGUACAACAAAUUUAAGCUUUAAAACAGAAGGGAACAAACUCGAGGUGGAUCUGCUUGCAAAAAGAGAAGAGACUUUGCCCUGAAUAUUCACAUUUUUGCAUAUCCAACAUCAAAAUCUAUUCUUCUUUUUGGAAUCAACGUCAAAAUUCUCAACACUUACAAAUUUAAGCUUUAAAACAGAAGGGAACAAACUCGAGGUGGAUCUGCUUGCAAAAAGAGAAGAGACUUUGCCCUGAAUAUUCACAUUUUUGCAUAUCCAACAUCAAAAUCUAUUCUUCUUUUUGGAAUCAACGUCAAAAUUCUCAACACUUAAAAUCUUAUACCCAAAGAAAGAUUUUAGUUUCUUCACCCCCC
rnacentral:lncRNA from 1 species